AAUAUAUUUUGCGUCCCCCUCACUGAAACGAACGACCAUAACUUUGUCUUCCCUAUCGCAGCCCUUGGUGGUGGAUUCCGCUAUUGACCCCUUACACCUGUGGCUUUGAUCACUCCAAUGUUAGUUGAGGAGUACAUCACUGAUGUAUGUUGCAACUAAGGCUUAUGCAAAAACGCAUUGGACUUCACAUUUGUUUGUCCUAUAGGAUUGCUGCGUGCUUCAGAUUGGUUUUUGGAAAUCGGAGGAACCAAUGAAAUUGGCUUCUGGAUUUCGAGGGGAGGUUGAAUUCGGGAACUGGGUUUGAAGAAUUUGCAGCCUUCAUCUUCAGAGGAGGCGCCGAUCCCUUGAAAGCCAGAUUCUCCAUCUUCAUAGAGGUCCCUUAUUACUGCUGCAACAGGUGCAAGGGCGAUGCGUAUUUCUACAAGGUCUUCAAGGUGUACACGCAACUAUAGAAAUUUCAGCAAUAAACUCAUCCCCUGUCCUCUCUCUCACUCCUGAGCGCUUCAACGACAUUGUGGUCGGGAUUUGAACAGCUCUGUGUUUCCAGUAGCGGCGGUUGAGUUUUUCUCAGUAAAGACAAGGUAUUCCACAUAAUCGCCCUCAGCCCCCACCUUAAGGCAGCGACGUCGGCGAUUCCUCGGCCAUUUUCUUUGUCAUCUUCGCUUUCCUCGCCAUUUUAGCCGUGACGGUUCUUCCAACAUCAUCAACUAUAUCAAUUCAGCACCAAGUCCUAGAAGGUCAUGUUGGGGUAUAUUGGAGAGGAGGCGCUCUUCUGAUGACAAUUACAGAUCCAGAUUUUACUUAUGUAGAUACUAUCUCUUCAUUUCUCAGAUGGUUGACAAAUUGGAUGAUGAAAUCAUGGCAAUAGAACUUGGUCCACCUAAUUUUAAAGAGGCCUUAUAAGAAACUUGGUUGCAAGGCAAGUUGGAAACGCACAAAAGUUUGAUCGUGUCCUAUAGAAUUGCCAGAGAAGGUCAUCUCCAUUUCGUGCAAAAUCAGAUUUCUUUCUACACACAAAAACACUAGGUAAACACGCAUUAGCCUUAUUUUGUUCAUGAUAUAAUUCUAUUGUCUAUAAAUUUAUUUCAAUUUUUUUCCCUUGCCUGGGAUGCUUCCUUAAUGAUCAACAUAGCAUAGGACAACUUUUAGUGUUGCAGAAAACAACAUUUUCCAUUAAUGUUUUUGGACAGGAAGCAAUUUGUGUUUUUUCGUAUCCAAAGAACGUAAUAGUUUUAAUGGACAAAGUAGGUUUCUCUUUUGAUAUUUAAAUUUGUUUCAUUCAUGAUGAGGUUGUGUAUAAUUUGCAUUGGCAUUGGUAACUUA